rnacentral:rRNA from 1 species
AUUGAACGCUGGCGGCAGGCCUAACACAUGCAAGUCGAGCGGAUGAAGGGAGCUUGCUCCUGGAUUCAGCGGCGGACGGGUGAGUAAUGCCUAGGAAUCUGCCUGGUAGUGGGGGAUAACGUCCGGAAACGGGCGCUAAUACCGCAUACGUCCUGAGGGAGAAAGUGGGGGAUCGUCGGACCUCACGCUAUAAGAUGAGCCUAGGUCGGAUUAGCUAGUUGGUGGGGUAAAGGCCUACCAAGGCGACGAUCCGUAACUGGUCUGAGAGGAUGAUCAGUCACACUGGAACUGAGACACGGUCCAGACUCCUACGGGAGGCAGCAGUGGGGAAUUUUGGACAAUGGGCGAAAGCCUGAUCCAGCCAUGCCGCGUGUGUGAAGAAGGUCUUCGGAUUGUAAAGCACUUUAAGUUGGGAGGAAGGGCAGUAAGUUAAUACCUUGCUGUUUUGACGUUACCAACAGAAUAAGCACCGGCUAACUUCGUG